rnacentral:tRNA from 1 species
GAGGCAGUAGCUGAGUGGUAGAGCCCCCGCUUCACAUGCGGGGAGACCUGGGUUCGAUUCUAGGCUCCUUCC